AUUGAACGCUGGCGGCAGGCCUAACACAUGCAAGUCGAGCGAGCGGCGCACGGGUGAGUAAUGUCUUGGAAACUGCCUGAUGGAUGGGGAUAACUACUGGAAACGGUAGCUAAUACCGCAUCCCAUCAGAUGUGCCCAGAUGGGAUUAGCUGGUGGGUGGGGUAACGGCUUACCUAGGCGACGAUCCCUAGCUGGUCUGAGAGGAUGACCAGACAAAGGUGAACUGAGACACGGUCAAGAGUCCUACGGGAGGCAGCAGUGGGGAAUAGUGCACAAUGGGCGCAAGCCUGAUACAGCCAUGCCGCGUGUGUGAAGAAGGCCUUCGGGUUGUAAAGCACGUGCAGCGGGGAGGCGUUACCCGAAGAAGAAGCACCGGCUAACUCCGUGCCAGCAGCCGCGGUAAUUC
rnacentral:rRNA from 1 species